rnacentral:rRNA from 1 species
CGGAGGGGCGUAGCGUUGUUCGGAAGUUACUGGGCGUAAAGCGCACGUAGGCGGACUGGAAGUCAGAGGUGAAAUCCCAGGGCUCAACCUUGGAACUGCCUUUGAAACUAUCAGUCUGGAGUUCGAGAGAGGUGAGUGGAAUUCCCGAGUGUAGAGGUGAAAUUCGUAGAUAUUCGGGAGGAACACCAGUUGGCGAAGGCGGCUCACUGGCUCGAUACUGACGCUGAGGUGCCGAAAGCGUGGGGGAGCGAACAGGAUU